rfam:Acidomonas methanolica NBRC 104435 DNA, contig: Amme_059.
UUUCUGCUGCAUGCGCUGACCUGUCAGCCAUCGCCAGCAGUCACGGUCUUCAGGCUGCGCUGCGGAGUCUUCCGCGUCCGACCACCUCGUCCGCAUCGCAUCAUGUCGCGGACGCGCGCCCACAGGGCGUCGAUGC